GCUUCAGUAGCUCAGCUGGUAGAGCAGCUGAUUUGUAAUCAGCAGGUCGUAGGUUCAAGUCCUAUCUGAAGCUCCA
rnacentral:tRNA from 4 species